UUAGCCCCAUAAUUCAAUGUCUUAUUCAAUUGUAAAAGAAUAAUUUCAAUCAUGUGAAAAUAUACAAUUGAAUCAAUUUAUAAAUUGUUAAAGUUCGUCUAACAAUAACUUCGAAAGGGUGAGAAAGAAGUUGAGUAUUUAGUAUUGAGCCUGACUGCUCUCUAUGAUUCUAUAUUUCAGACUGAAUUCUCUUGAUCGAGAAAAACUAGAGUAAGUCUCUUAUCAAUACGAUGUGCUUGGGCAUCAGGCCCGCGCAUCGUUCGAUAUAGAGGGGUGGAUCGUGAUACGCAAUAUUCUCGAAUGAUCCAUUCUCCGUUCUCACGCUUUCUCCGUUUUUGUUAUUAACAAAUGAGUCACUUAUUUAUGAACAAAAGUUAUCUUAGAACAAAAUAGAUGUUUGUGCAGCUGCACGUCUCGAGGAUUUACUCGAGGCGUCAGCGUUUAUUUGAACAUAACAAAUAUUACAAGAAAAAUAACUUUGUCAAUAUGUUUCAAAUAUUCUAAAUAAUAUUAUAUUAUUUUAUGUUCUAUUAUUUUAUAUUAUUAUGUUAUGUUAUAUUAUUAUAUUAUAUUAUAUUAUAUGGUAUAAUAUAGAGUAACUUAUUAAUUAUGCAACUUGCUUAAUUAUCAAUAUACAAUAUUGGCCAAUAAUUCUUGAGGGGUAGCAUAGAAUCGGUAAAAAAAAAUGUCUCAAAAUAAAAAUGUAUAUAAAUGUAUAAUGUUUAUUUUUAUAGUAAUUUUUUUUUAGUGACUUUUUAAUUUAGUUUUUUUUAAUUAUUCAUAUUUUUAUAUACACACACUAAAAUUAUUUACUAAUUUUUAAACAGUAACCAUAUUUUUAUUAGUGAUUUUCAAAUAUAGAGACAUUUUUUAAAGGGAUUUUUUUUUAUUUACUUAUUUUACAAUACUAAUUUAUAAUUUUACAUUUUAUUAAAAUAUAUAUGUUUUUAAUUAGUGAAUUUUUUUUUUACAACUUUUUAUUUUUAUAUUUUUACAUUUGUAUGAAAGUAGUCAUAUAUAUUUUUAUUUUGAGACAUUUUUUUUUUACCGAUUCUAUGCUACCCCUCAAGAAUUAUUGGCCAAUAUUGUAUCUAGGUGUAAUUUGUACCUUUGUAAUGUUAAAUCGCACCUCGGGUUCGACCAGAGGAUAUUUCUGAACGCAGGAUUUGAAUAUUUUCUCUUCCAGAGUGUGUUUCUGAACAUGCCCCAGGGUGUAUAUGUACUUUUUUUUUUAUAUUUGCCUUAACGAAGAAAAUAUUCUACAAUUGUGACUUGUGACCACUUUGUGAUUUUCACUUUUCACAAUUCGUGAGCGCGAGUGAUCCAUCUCUUCUAUGUGUAUAUAUAUAUAAGAUUUUUAUUUUUUUUUUUAUCUCGUACAAGUUAUUUUAUCCAGACAAUUGUUAUAUUAUAAAAAUUCCACGUUCAAUCAGCAAUUGGAACGGUUAUCGAAAGUUUUAAGGAUAAAAAAAAAAAAAACAUAAAUUCAAAAAUAAUGGAAGACAUUGUAAAAGAAUGUAGUUGCACUGGAGUUUGUCACGGUAAAAAUAAAUACCCAGGACCCUACAUUCAAGAAGACUGUCUAAAU